CAACUAUUGAGGCACUUCUGUCCUUGUACCUCCCCAGAAAACAGGUCAUGACUGCGUCCAAUAAUUGUGUCUACAUCCAUUAGCAGGCUUCCUUCUUACGUCAAUAGUACAGAGCGAACACCUUCCUAUGGCAGAGGUAACGUAAUGUAGCAGACAGCCAACCUAAGAUGACCCUGAAAUUCUAUAGUGACUUUAUGCAUUGAAAGCUGUACACAGCGUACAACAUAUAAGGCAGUGUAUCAUUGUGCAGACGGCUGAAGGGACCUGUCUGGAGAACGGCAUAUCCUUGCCUCCAUAUGGGGCUAUAACAUGCAAUCUUUUAGGCUUGGAGCAAUAGAAGACCGAUCGGACACUGAG